GUCUGAUUAUUUUGAUUCACACAACAGUUUUUUAGUUGUCUAUUGUGUGACUUUGUUUCAGACAAUGUACUGAAAUUGAUGUUGUCUGAGUUUUAGGGUUCAACAUGUUGAUGUUUGCCCGCUCAAUUUUUUUGCCGAAACUUAAACUUCCCACUUUUUUUUUUUAAAGGACAUAAAGGUUCCAUUGAAAACAAAACCUCUCUCCUCUCAGACAGCCAACGCUUACAGCUUGCCAUCUCUCUCACGAAAUCUCCCUCUUGAUCUUUACCCACAUGGCCGAAAACACCAGUUGAUGUCGAAGCAAAAGCCUAUCCUCCAGCAAUUGCAGUGGUUUUUUAGCAGCUCAGGUCUAAGUUUUCGGUUGGGAGAUCGUAACUCUGCGGUGGACGCUGGGCGGCUGGGCAGUCAUGAGUCACUCUCCGCCUCUCGUUCGUUGCUCUCUCUGCACCACGCAACUGCGCCACACCUCUCUCUCUCCCUCCCUCCCUCCUUGAUGGGAUCUCCCUCAGUCUCUCACUAGCAAUUGUUACUAAAGUCUUUAGCAGAUACAUUCCUAGUUUCAUUCUUCUGUUAUUUCUGAAAAUGAGUACAGAAUCGUCUCUGGUGUGGCUGGACUUUUGAUUGUCCUUAAAAAUCUAAGGGAUGAGGUCAAUAUGAUUGUCAAAGUCAAAGGCUAAACUGCUCCAUGGGAAGCUCUUGGAAAGGAAAUACAAUCAUGAGGAUAUCAUCUUGUCCUUGAUUCGCCAUCAAUCUAUUUGAACUUUUUAAUUGCAGGAAUUGGGUUUUGAUGGAUGAAAGUUUAAGUUUUUGUUUUGAAUUCUGUGAUUGGAGUAAGCAUCUUCUAGAGAUGAAUAGGAUUUUAAGGCCCGGGGGAUACUUUAUCUUGUCAACUAAACAUGACAGCUUUGAAGCUGAACAAGGUAAACAAAUAUCUAGAAAACUAUGAAAUGGCCCUUACUGGAUUUGAAGCUGCUGCUUUAAAGGAUCCUGGUCUCAAUGCUACCGAAGAGGUUCAAAAGAUUGUUAACCUUCUUGACAAGCUAGAUAAUUUGUUAAGGGUAAUGCAUUUUUCAUUCGUAAAUGUGGUAUCUUGAGGUCUUGAGUAUGUGUUUCCAAAGUGGUUUCUAGGAUCAAGGGGCCUUGGGCUAUCAUCUAUUGGCAGAUAACUUUUGAGUGGUUGGUGUGCGAGGACAUAACUGGGGGUCUAGAGGAUAUUGCCAUUCCAGCUAGCAAUUUGGUCAAUGAUCCGCCUGUUGCUUUGCCAGUUGAUGUUGUAAAUAUGGUUAUCUUAGCAAGCAUAAAGGAGUUAAGGCUUAAAGCUGUUGGUGCAUUGUUUUCACUUAUUUGUGAGGUUUAGGACGUUAAUGCGCAUCACAUUUAUGGACAAGUAUAAGUUUAUGGUUAGGGUUAAUGUUGGGAUGGAAUAACUUUGUUGAAUAUAUGGAUGAAUGUAUCGGAUCUUUGCAUAAAUGAAUUUGUUUUGAAUGUGUUGUCA